rnacentral:rRNA from 1 species
UGAGUAAUGUCUGGGAAACUGCCUGAUGGAGGGGGAUAACUACUGGAAACGGUAGCUAAUACCGCAUAACGUCGCAAGACCAAAGAGGGGGACCUUCGGGCCUCUUGCCAUCAGAUGUGCCCAGAUGGGAUUAGCUAGUAGGUGGGGUAACGGGCUCACCUAGGCGACAAUCCCUAGCUGGUCUGAGAGGAUGACCAGCCACACUGGAACUGAGACACGGUCCAGACUCCUACGGGAGGCAGCAUG